CGCAGGCGCCGCUGUGUGCUGCGUCACAGCGCCGGGCCGCGCUAGUCUGUGCGUGGCCGGCUGCGGGUGCGGACGGGCUUCGCCAUCAUGGCUUCCGCCGUCACACACCCGGCUCCCCCUGCCGCCGCCACCAGCGCCGCCGCCGCUACCACCGCCGCUGCCGCCACCACCGCUGCCGCCCCGCCGGCUCCCGCCGCCCCGGGCAUCCUCAUCGGCGACCGGCUGUACUCGGAGGUGUCGCUCACCAUCGACCACUCGCUGAUCCCCGAGGAGCGCCUCUCGCCCACUCCCUCCAUGCAGGACGGCCUGGACCUGCAGUGCGAGACCGACCUGCGCAUCCUGGGCUGCGAGCUCAUCCAGGCGGCCGGUAUCCUCCUCCGCCUGCCGCAGGUGGCGAUGGCGACGGGGCAGGUGCUGUUUCAUCGGUUCUUCUAUUCGAAGUCCUUCGUCAAGCACAGCUUCGAGAUUGUUGCUAUGGCGUGCAUCAAUCUUGCAUCGAAAAUCGAAGAGGCGCCUCGUCGUAUAAGGGAUGUGAUCAACGUGUUUCAUCAUUUGCGUCAGUUAAGAGCAAAAAGGACUCCAAGCCCCCUGAUACUUGAUCAGAACUACAUAAACACCAAAAAUCAAGUAAUCAAAGCAGAAAGGAGGGUACUGAAGGAGUUGGGAUUUUGUGUUCAUGUCAAGCAUCCACAUAAGAUCAUUGUUAUGUAUUUACAAGUCUUAGAAUGUGAACGUAAUCAAACCCUGGUACAGACAGCCUGGAAUUACAUGAAUGACAGCCUUCGAACAAAUGUGUUUGUUCGCUUUCAGCCAGAGACUAUAGCUUGUGCUUGCAUUUAUCUUGCUGCUAGAGCUCUGCAGAUUCCAUUACCUACCCGUCCUCACUGGUUCUUGCUCUUUGGCACCACGGAAGAGGAGAUUCAGGAGAUAUGCUUAACAACUCUUAAGCUCUAUACCAGAAAGAAGCCCAAUUAUGAAUUCCUGGAUAAAGAAGUAGAAAAGAGGAAAAUGGCACUACAGGAAGCUAAACUGAAGGCAAAAGGUUUAAAUCCAGAUGGAACUCCAGCACUCUCAACACUGGGCGGUUUUUCUCCUGCAUCCAAACCAUCUUCCCCAAGAGAAGUAAAAACUGAAGAGAAGAGUCCAGUAUCUCUGAAUACCAAAACCAUUAAAAAAGAGCCAGAAGAGAGGCAGCAAGCUUCAAAGAGCCCUUACAAUGGCAUGAGAAAAGAAAGCAAGAGAAGUAGAAGCAGCCGAAGUGCUAGUCGAUCUCGGUCAAGAACAAAGUCGAGGUCUCGAUCUCACACUCCUAGGCGGCACUACAAUAAUAGGCGGAGCCUGUCUGGGACCUACAGCUCAAGAUCAAGAAGCAGGUCCCGCAGCCACAGCGGCAGCCCUCGCCGACACCAUAAUCAUGGCUCGCCACACCUGAAGACCAAGCACGGCAGGGAGGAGCUGAAGAGUGCAAAUAGACAUGGUCACAAAAGGAAAAAAUCGCGUUCACGUUCGCAGAGCAAAUCCAGGGAUCAUUCUGACGCUGCCAAGAAGCACCGGCACGAGCGGGGCCACCACAGAGACAGGCGGGAGAGAUCCCGCUCCUUCGAGAGGUCUCAUAAAGGCAAGCACCACAGCAGCGGCCGGUCAGGACACAGCAGGCACAGACGCUGAGGUGACAGGCUGGGAAAGCUUUAGGAGUCGGUGUCCUUGCUAGGUGCUUCAGAAGCCACAGCUGGGCUCGAGUCCCACCUUCCCUGGCAGCUGCCCUGGGGGGGUGCCUGUCCUGACUGUCUCCUGGAGCUGCUUCUGGCAGAAGCCAGUGUGUCCCUGUCAUCGGCUGCUCUUUGGCCUGGUUGUGCUAGAGGCACGAAGGGGGACAAAUAACAUGCCUGGGGAGAUGAAGCUGGUGGAAGGGUCGCACCGACUCAGCCUGGGCACAAGCACACGGGGUGUGCAGCAGUGCCAAAUGCAGAUGGGUUCGUUGCUGGAGGCUCACCCCUGGGCUGCCAAAGCUGUAACCUGGCACAGGACAGCUCUGGGUGGAGGUGCAGUGCCCCUCGCUCCGGUGCUGAAGAGAAGUUAACUUCCAUGCAAAGCUGGAACAUCUGGUGAUGUUAAACGUCUAGACACCAUCUGCUGCGGAUUGCUUACGCAGUGAGCUUGCAGUCAGCUAGCAAGGAGUUCAGUGUUUGUUCUUCCAUGGGGAAAAAGAUCUCUUCAGCCAGCUGUGGGUGCCGGCCUUAACCCUGCGAUGGCUUUGCCAACGACAGGCCAUAAAAUAAAUGGUUUUGGUUACUGAAACAAACGCAGCAGCCCUUUCUCAAAGCCCAAGUAUGCCUGGUCAGUGCUGUAAAGAAGGGAUGGUGUGCUGGGGGUGAGAAGCACACAGCGAGUUGGUGGUUGGGCUGGCUGGGUCCCCGCAGGUGGCGGGAGCAGGGGACAGGGUGGGAUAACGGCUGUGGCCCUGGUACUGUCCCCUUACCUGGAGGACUUGCCGAGAAGAAAGCUGCUGGGCAAGCAACUGUUUCAUACUUAAAUGCAAGACGGUAGGGUUACAUCUGGUGACCAGGCUGUUCCUGGGAGCCAGCUGCACACACUGCUGGGGCUGCGGAGCUGCCCUGCCUGCUGGGCACAGCUGCAGCGCUCAGCACCUGUCCUGCCUCUGGCUGGGCCAUGCCUGAGCGAGGGCUCCCCCUCCUCUGCUUUAUCCCAGGAAUUCCUCUGUCACUUUGGCUCGAUGAGACUGGAAGAAAGUUGCUCCCCCAAACUUACUGUGCCAUUGGUUACGGGGGAGGGGGAUGGGACAAAAGCAGGGACAGCGUGAACAUGCCAGCUUGCUCAUAGCAGUCACGCGUACGUGAUGCAGAUCGUGCUGGGAGGUGAUGUGAGGAACUGAGUGAUGUGCCAGGAGCAGACUGUCACCAGGGCCUGGCUCUGCUGUGUCACGCUCCAGCGCAGUAACCGUCGAUACCGUGAAGUAUCAGCCAAAGCCUAUUUUAAGGGAGGUGCUGUAUUAUUUUUACAACUAGAUCUCACGUGUCUUUCCCAAGACUGAAGUGUCAUAUAAGGACACAAUGCGUUCAUUAAACUCUAAAUCACAAAAAUUAAUUGUUUCAGAGCACUGCUUGACCUUGAAGCAUCCAUAUUGACCUCCAGGAGUCACUUGAGGCUACACUGACGAAUCUCAGUAGUUGAAAAGUAUUUAAUGCUUGUUAUUUUUAAAUUCUUCAGUGUCUUCUGUGUACUUGAGUCACUAAUGGGAACGCUUCAUCAGCUGAAACAUAUCUCUGAAGGAUGUGGUGGCUCUGUUGACCCACCAUUGACAUCCGUUUGUAGAAUCCCCUGCGGGUGGCUUUGCACAGCUCUGCCCUUGCUGCAGCCCCCGGCAGCCGUGCCGGGCAGUGGGCAGAACGGACGGGCGUAGCUGAGAAGCGAGCCGGGGUUUUGAGCACCCUGCACUGACCUUUUGUUUCUGACUGAGCUUGUAGCCAUUGGUAUGGGCUUUAUUCUGCACAGCAGUACAUGACGCUGUUUAAACGUUCAGAGUGGAAAUGCUUUCAUGGUAAAACCAGACUGUAAUGCCCCACUGCAACGCGAUUGCAGACUGAGCCCAGGUGCCGGCGGGACUGCAAUGGCUUUCCCGGCUCGGGCUGUGCCGCAGUACGGCUCCCGUUUCCCUCUGCCCCAUCCCGCUGUUUGAGUCACCAUGCUCGUUCUUUCACCAGCACUGAUGGUAGUACCAGACGCCAAAGAAACCAGCGCUGGAGCAUGCAGAUGAAGCGCAGUGAAAGAGAUUUUGGUCCUUCCUCCUCAUCUUUCCAGUGUUUUCAGCGAUGCUGUCUCCGGGACGCAGCCUGCCGCCGCCAGCACAGCAGGCGGGAAGGCCGCUCGGGCUGCACCGCUGAACCCAGAUGGCCGCAGGCAAAUGUUUGCUGAACGCCGACAGAGCAGAGGCUGUUCUGGCAAAGUGGCAGAUGGCGAAGCAGGGACGGGAGCUACACAUCGCCCCGAGCCACAGCCCCGCGGCUUGGAUGUGUCCGAAAACAAUUGCUCUAGCAGCAAGCGGCUGUGAAAGCCUCGAGCCGCCCAGUCUGGUCUGCAGCCCAAAGUGGAAGGAGACCGUGGGAGAUCCGCUGUUAAACAAAGCCGGGUGCUUGGCAGGUAGGAGCUCGGGGACGGUGACACCUACCAGCGCCUGGGACCAAGCGUGGCACCCGCGGCGCCUGCCCCUGCUGCCGUGUGCUGCGCUUUCCUGGGAAAUGCGGAGUAUUCCUGCAUCGCCUGAUGCUGUUAGAAACGCUGUGAUGGAAAUAAGGUGCUGCCACUGAACUUUGAAGACCUAAGAGCCCUAGAGAGACCCACAGGAACUGGGGGGAAGUGUUCCAGGUCUCCUCGGGGGGCGGGGGUUUGGCUAGGUUGGUCUUGUCCUCAGAAAAAAGAUUUUGUUAAAAUGUUUUGACUAAUUUUUCAACAAACUUAUGCAAAUAUUUCAAGUGAGGAAAUUCAAACUUGUGACUGUCCUUUACUGUCAGCUUUGUACCGGCGUUGGAAGGAUGUACAUGGACCAAAAGCUUUGGGUGGUUUGGGGAGAAAAAAAAUAGUGAAAAAUCAAAGAAUAUUCCUGACGGAAACUGAUCCAACAAUUACUCAUUAGGGCUUUAGCCGCCCCCAAAACCACAGGUUAGUGGCAGCGGGCGCAGCAGGGCGUGCGUUGUGUGCUGCUGUUAAUGACAGCGAUAGAGGUCCCUUUUCCGGGAAAUCCUUCCCUGGUCAUUGCUCCUGCCAGGAAAUGUUCAUGAAAUCCACCAUUUCUCAUCAGCCCCAUCCACAAGCCGCCAAGUUCACCGCUCUCCUGUCUCUGCUGCUGGCUGCUCCCCUCCUCCGAAGCACAAGCCAUGUGCUUGUAGGCUUUUUGGGGCAGGAACCGAGCCUGCUACAGCCACCCCGUGCUCCUCUCUGCGGUGGGGCCGUGUGUCCGCACAGCGCUCGGGUGUUGUUGCUGCAGAGCACGGGCACUUACACCCCACUUAGGAAAAAACACUUCUGUAAAGGAAACAGCUUUCCAUUCCCAUCUCCUGCCUGGCCACAGCCCAGCGGGGCAUUUUGGGAAAAAAAAAAAAAAAAAGAAAAAAGGUGUUAAAAUUAGAAAAGCUGGCCUGAAAAAAUAGGUCUUUAUAUUCCAGUGGAAGGAAAAAAAUUGCCAAAAUUACCAUUUUUGUCCCAGGAAAUAGAAUCCCUCUUUGCAGUUUUGUAGGAGAGGACACGGGGCUCACAAACACCUCUGCAGAUGUCCUCUGGUGUGCCCCAGCCCCCCAAAGCAUCCUCCGCCCGCCUGGGCCCCCCAGGGUGCUCUGCACCCAUCGGCUCCAGGGCCGCUGCAGGCUGCUCCCCACUGCCAUACUGGGUUUUAUUCUGUAGGUGGAAGUAUUGCAAAGCGGACACGAGCAACCCCUGUGUGCACACGCUCACGCACGCAUACACGCACGCAUAUGCACACACGCACGCACAGGCUCUGCUGGAGCCGGGCUCGUGGCGCUGCUGAAGGCACCGAAACGGCUCAGAAGCAAAGGAGGAGGCGGGUGUCUCGCUCCGGGGCCGGGGCGGCUGAGCGCUGCGGGCAGAGCAGCCCUGCAGUUGGGGGGUCAAACGCUCAGACGAGCGCCCGACUUCAGGCUGCUGGGAGCAGAGACGGGUGGGCAGCCGUGAGGGAGGGCAGGCACCGCCAGGCGUGUGAGAUAACGCGCGAUCAACCAGGUUACAAUCGGUGUGAAAGCAUCCGCGCGCAGCUCUGCAACAGCUUAGGUGGACCAGCUUGAAUUAUCCCUGAAAGGCCAAUUGCAGCCGCAGCCACGGAGAGUCGAUGAUUUAAAAAACUAUUGGGUUUACAUGCUGCAGCCCAAGCUCGGGCAGGCUGCUGUACGUGAGAAAACCUCCACGUGAAGCUCAUGAACGUGGACUUAGUUGUGCUGGUGGGCAUCUCGCAGGUAAAUAGAUAUUUAAAGUGGGUUGAAGCAGGAGGCGAUGGAUUUAGGUUGCUUUGAGCCACGCUGAUUUAAAAGCUGUCCCAGGUCUGCAGGAGACAGAAGAGCCUCCAAGGCAUCCCCGUACCUCGUGGCCCUGCGCAGCUGCCAUUCCCAGAGUGGUUUUCCUGAGCGUGGCAAGGUCCGUUAUCUCCCAAGAGGCGAUUCGCACGUCUUGCUGCCCCGCACGUCCCCCCGAUCAUCGCUCUGUUCAGCUAAUGGAACCCCCAGAUCCCACCGCACCCACCUGCUCCCCGGGGCCGCGCGGGCGUCCCCGUGUGUCUUAGCCCAGAAGGAAAAGUUCAGAAACACUAGUAGGUAACUAAUCCUUUUUUUUACAAAUAAUAUAAAUAUCCACUCCCAAACGAUGUCUCAAAGCUGCCGGUCACAGCAGGGCCACGGGCUUCCCAAGGGGACCAGCGGAGCUUCGCGGGUCACCUCGCAGUAGCAUCAGAAGCCGUUACUGCCCGAUAAACCCCAACAGGCCCGCGCUGCUCCCAGGACUUAAGGGCAGAAUUUCAUUUGCUGAUGAAAAUGAGUUUACUCAGAGCGAAAUCAUUUUCCCCGCAUGCAAAGUCUCCUUGCAGUUAAAUAAAAAGUACAGAAAGCCAGAUAAAAAUACCAGAUUUAAGAAGAAUAUUGUUCUUUGUGUAGGUUUAAUGCCUCGGGGGGGGGUAGGCACAGGCUCUCCCCAAAGAGAAAUGGGCAACGGGGCUGGCAGCUCCUGCCUGACAUUCCUGCCGUGCCCCGAACACACCGGGUGCUCCCUGGGACUUUUCUUCGGGGUCCCGGGAAGGGGCAUUUUCAGCCGCCCUCCACAGAGCAGGGGGUCGUGCUCCCGGUCACCACCGACCCGCACCCAGCAGCUGCUGCCCCCUUUCCAGGGAGGUCCCCCCAAAGCCUGCUGCACGGUGGAACCGCCGUAGCAGUCAGGUUUUAAAUCUCUUUCACGCAGUGGAGCAAACUGCACGGGAAGGGGUACGGUGGCACGGGGACGGGGGGGUCAAAAGCUGCUUUCAGGGGACGUGCUGGGACCUUGGCCUGACGGCAGGGUCGGGGCCGGGAGGACGAGUCCGCUGCCUGCACUCUGCCCUGCUGCCGCUGCCAGAGAAAGCAGGGGUUUCUCGGGAACGCUUUUAAUCGCCUCCAGCACUUCGCCUAACAAACCACACGGCCAAAAGCACGGCCAGGUGCCUGCUGCUCCCCACGGCCGCCCCUGAAAUGCCGCCCGGGAGGCUCUGCAGGGACCCCGCAAACCCGAGCUCCGACCGUGCGCUGCUCGGAGGGGGAACUCAGCGAAGUUUCGUGCUGGAAAUGCCGACAGCCUCGGCCAGCCGGUAAAGGGGGAAGCAAGGCGUGAGCGACGUGUGCCCCCCCCGCCCGACACCGACACUGACACGCUCACGGUGGAGCAGGCCGGAUGCGGCCACGCUGCCCUCCGAAUGCUGGACGAGAGCACAGGCUGAUUUAUGUUUGCGUUAUGCGAUGGCAACCUAUACGGGUGAAGAAUGUAUUGGGAUUCCACUGGCUGCACGUUGCAGAGCACUGGUCACCCGGGAUGCAGCAGAUGAAGCCUGAUGGGAAUUACAGGCGUGCCGUGCUCGCAGCAGACACCCCCUCGGGGGAAGGGGUUUCAGGUUGGCUUUACCAAAUUGCACCUUUAGUUCUUCUGGCAAGAAGAGGGCCAGAAAGGGCCCGGCUGGCCAGCGCUCGGUGCGGCUACUCAGAGCCUCCCGGAGCCCCUCACCCUCGGACGGGGCUGCACGAGGGCCGCAGGGCUGUGUGUGGCUGUGCUCGCCACGCUCCUUCCGUUCCACAAUAAUCAAUUUGUCGUCAAGUCUGAAUUUGAAAUCACACCGCAAACAUCGCUGCUUCAUUUGGGCAGCCUCCAAAAUCACGUCGCAAGCGCAGGCGCAUACAGAGCAAUCCCGGAGGCUGAGGGAGCCGCUGCAGUCAGAAUUAAUUGCUGUGCAAACACGGAGCGAGCGAUACAAUGAGAGGCUGUGUGUGAGAUCUGAUUAACAUAUUAGUACCAAACAUUUGAGGAAAACAGCGACCGUUUUAGCCAAGACACGUCCCAUCGCUGUGCUCAGCUCGUCUGUGCCGUGCCGUGGCGCGGCGGGGGCUCCAACCUUUCCGCGGCCGCAGGGUUUGUGCGCACAACUCUUGCUCACCCAGACAAAAUGUUGCUCCCCUGACGCCCAGGUGAGGGUGAGGGUCUGGGGGGGACACAAGGGCGUGAGCUGAUGGCAACGGAGCGUGAGGAGUGACGGCAGAGCACAAGGAGCGAGUCCCUUCGCCUUGAUGUUAGAAACAAGUCGUACGUGUGCCCUUUGCCGAGUACUUGUGAAAGCAAACUGCAUCUGCAGGAGCGCGAACAAUUGGUGAGCAAGGCAAAUGGUCUGAACUUGUCAGCUAGUUGGAAGGCAAAAUUCACACCCGUGUGAACGGUCUACAACCUGCGAGGGCUCUGCCUGCUCGAUAGACUGUGCCUCUUCAGCUAUGCCUGGCGUUCAGCCUACUUUUUUCUUUUAAUUUGGUAGGAUACAACCAUAAACAACUGCAAUUUGAGCCUUUUUCCCCCGAGGUAAAAAUUGUUCACUUAGCCAAGAAAGUGCUCCGGCUUGGAGGGAGACAAUUAGCCCAAGCGCACUCGCGCGGGGGGAGCCGAGGGUACGGGGGCAGCAGCGUGGCGGGGAUGCCGACCUGCACAUCCUUCCUCAAACAGCAGCGCGGAACGGCUCCGAAGUGCCGUAGGCGAGCAUUGACCAAAGAAAUGGUAUUUACCCACCAACUAUUGCACAGCCGCUGGGUAAAUAUCAUAAGGGAUUGACCACGGCAGAAUUAUUAGCCUGAUCCUGCUGUUCCCCUCUGAGAGCCGUGCUAGCCGAGUGAAAACCAAUCAUGUAAAGAAUAAUUAAGUUCUCCUGUCUCCUGUGCAUUUUUGUGGUCUUACAAAUCCCGUUGCUAAAGGGUUUCUCCGCUGCGGCACACGUCCACGUGAGCGGGGCAGAGGCUGCGCCCGGCUGCCAAACCGGAGUCGAUCCAGCUGAGGCAGGGCCGGUCCUGGGCAGCCGAGUGGCUCGUGCCCUCUGCUGAUAAGGAAUCAAGGGAGGAAAUCAGUAGCAAAAUGAUCUUAAACCACGUGAAUCUACUUGAGGGCUUGCGCAGGUUCACGUACAUGCAUUUAGUGAAGCGGGGCAGCUUUCUAAAAUACCUGCGUGACUUCGGAUCCUCAGGUUUGCGUCGGUUUAACUGGGCGUUAGGUACCCCAGUGCCUUUCACAGCCAGGCUGAGGUCCCGUCUUCAAGCGAUUUAGGAGCCGAAGUUUUGUCCAAAGCCUACAGGCAUUUAUACGCCACCACACCU